rnacentral:rRNA from 1 species
UUGAACGCUGGCGGCAUGCCUUACACAUGCAAGUCGAACGGUAACAGGUCUUCGGAUGCUGACGAGUGGCGAACGGGUGAGUAAUACAUCGGAACGUGCCCGAUCGUGGGGGAUAACGCAGCGAAAGCUGUGCUAAUACCGCAUACGCCCUACGGGGGAAAGCGGGGGAUUCGUAAGAACCUCGCGUUAUUGGAGUGGCCUAGGCCUGAUUAGCUAGUUGGUGGGGUAAAGGCCUACCAAGGCGACGAUCCGUAGCUGGUCUGAGAGGAUGAUCAGCCACACUGGGACUGGGACACGGCCCAGACUCCUACGGGAGGCAGCAGUGGGGAAUUUUGGACAAUGGGCGCAAGCCUGAUCCAGCCAUGCCGCGUGAGUGAAGAAGGCCUUCGGGUUGUAAAGCUCUUUCAGACGGAAAGAAAUCGGGCGGGUGAAUAGCCUGCCUGGAUGACGGUACUGUCAGAAGAAGCACCGGCUAACUACGU